rnacentral:rRNA from 1 species
UACGGAGGGUGCAAGCGUUAUCCGGAUUUACUGGGUUUAAAGGGUGUGUAGGCGGACUUUUAAGUCAGCGGUGAAAUCUCCGGGCUCAACCCGGAAACUGCCAUUGAUACUAUUAGUCUUGAAUAUUGUUGAGGUAGGCGGAACGGGUCAUGUAGCGGUGAAAUGCAUAGAUAUGACCCGGAACACCGAUUGCGAAGGCAGCCUACUAAGCAAUUAUUGACGCUGAGGCACGAAAGCGUGGGGGAUCAAACAGG